GUCUAUGGCCAUGCCAUUCUGAAUGUGCCCUAUCUCUUCUGAUCUUGUGAAGCUAAGCAGGGUCAGGCCUGGUUAAUACUUGGAUGGGAGACUACGGCGAAGCUGAGCCAGGACUUGACU
rfam:Pan troglodytes isolate Yerkes chimp pedigree #C0471 (Clint) chromosome 16, whole genome shotgun sequence.